AGUGAAAUUGCUGGAUUAUACAGAAACUCUAUGUUUAACUUUUGGAGGAAUUGCCAAACUGUUUUCCAAAGUGUGUGCAUCGUUUUAUAUUUCCACCAGCAGU
rnacentral:pre_miRNA from 3 species